UCCCUGAGGGUCGAGUGGUUAAGACUCUGUGCUUCCAAUGCAGCGGAUACAGAUUCAAUCCCUGGUCAGGGAA
rnacentral:tRNA from 1 species